rnacentral:rRNA from 1 species
ACGAACGCUGGCGGCGUGCUUAACACAUGCAAGUCGAACGGAAAGGCCCUGCUUUUGUGGGGUGCUCGAGUGGCGAACGGGUGAGUAACACGUGAGUAACCUGCCCUUGACUUUGGGAUAACUUCAGGAAACUGGGGCUAAUACCGGAUAGGAGCUCCUGCUGCAUGGUGGGGGGUGGAAAGUUUCGGCGGUUGGGGAUGGACUCGCGGCUUAUCAGCUUGUUGGUGGGGUAGUGGCUUACCAAGGCUUUGACGGGUAGCCGGCCUGAGAGGGUGACCGGCCACAUUGGGACUGAGAUACGGCCCAGACUCCUACGGGAGGCAGCAGUGGGGAAUAUUGCACAAUGGGCGGAAGCCUGAUGCAGCAACGCCGCGUGCGGGAUGACGGCCUUCGGGUUGUAAACCGCCUUCGCCUGUGACGAAGCGUGAGUGACGGUAAUGGGUAAAGAAGCACCGGCUAACUACGUG